GUGAUGUCUUGAGCAAGGUACAGCGGAGGCGCUGGGGGCGAGCGUUAUCGCCUUAUUGGCCAACGAAAUGUCCGGAUUUGGAAUGCCAAAACCAGUGGACAGAAAUACAGAUGAAUAAACUAAUCCCGAACAACGAUACAUAAUGGCUGGUUCUUCCUGGAGCCGAACACUUCAGUGAAAAGCAAUAGGUGAACCACGCAAAGUUGAAUAGCAGAGAGAUGAAAUGAAGCUAGCUGCCAUAUUUGGACACACUGAGAUGGAGCUUGCUUAUGCCGAAGAUGGAUACACCCACUGAGGUUGCUGGAAUUAUGUCCACCUUCACGACGCUGUCCAUGGGAAGUCCACAACACUGCUCGGAGAUGGAAGAAGGAGAACUCGCCGGAGAAGAAGAUGAAACGGUGGCUACCAGCCGGAGAAGAAGGACACAGCCAGCUUUCUCACCGCUCGAAACUCCCUGCUUCUACAAACCACUACCACGAGGGGAUCAUCUGCAGUAGAACCGGAGAGGAAACACCUUGCCGGAAAUACCCACUCAGCAGAGGAAGCCCUAGAUUGCAACCGCCGUCAGGAAGUCGAGAGAUAAGGGAACUCACCGUCGGAGAACACUACACCGUCAGAGAACCCUUUGCUGAGGUCCUCGCCGCGCACACUAGCCACCAGAGUUGCUGCCGUCGCCGAGCUGGAGAAGAUCGGGAAGCAGGAAAUUUGGGGGCUGCGGGGAAGGAAACACGAGGAAGAGAAAAACGCAAACAGGUUAGAGAGAUGAAAACCCGAGCCAAAUCACUCUGCAUCCGCGUCUUUCUAGAUUAGGAUUUGAGGUGUAUUACAACCGAUAAUUUAAUUAUAUCCUCUAUUUUCACUCUCAUUCGCACUUGUAGAGGGAAAUGGUGGACCAUUUUCUGUGGUGAAAAUUUUGUUUCAAGGAGCAUCCUUUUUUAUUAGAGUAUUCUUGAUAUGCUUUGAUACAAAGAGGUCUUAUUCAUGUCAGAUUGGGUAGCUCUUCUUUUGGUGGUUGGUUGGCUGGAGUAUGGAUGUUGCAGUGGGUAUCUUGCAAGGAGGAGAAGCUUAUUUAUAGAAUGUGCCUAGAAGGGGCUAGAUUGAAGCUGUGAUGUUGAUCGUUUAUGAUCGGUUGUGCAAGAAUGUUGUAUGAUGUGUUGUCUUUAUACUGGUUUUUUGUAUUGGUUGUUGGAAAUUUGUAAAGGUUGGUUUUUCAUGUCUAGCACUUCCCUCUUAUCAGAAAAUGUGAUGUUCUGAUCGUGUAGGGGUUUAUGUAUUUGGUUGGUUUUGUUCUGAUAUAGGUUAGUAUUUGAUAUGUUUUGAUUAUGAGAUACUAUUGCUAUUGGAGUCUGAUGUUAUGGUUUCUAAAGAAGGUGGAGCAAUGCAUAUUUUUUGAAGGGUUGUAUAUGUGACUGAUUCA